rnacentral:tRNA from 2 species
CCGGUGAUAGCUCAGUUGGUAGAGCAUCUGACUGUAGAAUUGCGGAUAUCAGAUAGUCGGUGGUUCGAUUCCGCCUCACCGGA